rnacentral:rRNA from 1 species
AACGCGAAGAACCUUACCCAGGUUUGACAUGUAGAGGACAGUGCUAGAGAUAGCAUCUCCCUUCGGGGCCUUUACACAGGUGCUGCAUGGCUGUCGUCAGCUCGUGCCGUGAGGUGUUGGGUUAAGUCCCGCAACGAGCGCAACCCUUAUCGUUAGUUGCCAGCGAGUAAUGUCGGGAACUCUAACGAGACUGCCUGGGUUAACCAGGAGGAAGGUGAGGAUGACGUCAAGUCCGCAUGGCCUUUAUAUCUGGGGCUACACACGUGCUACAAUGGUCGGUACAGAAGGCAGCGAAGCCGCGAGGUGAAGCAAAUCCUUAAAACCGAUCUCAGUUCAGAUUGUAGUCUGCAACUCGACUACAUGAAGACGGAAUUGCUAGUAAUGGCGUGUCAGCUACAACGCCGUGAAUACGUUCCCGGGCCUUGUACACACCGACUGUAC